rnacentral:snoRNA from 1 species
GAGCAAUGACGAUACAGAUCACUGACGGUUUAACGUUGAAACACUCUGAGUUUUCCAAGUCGUCGUUUGACUGAAAACGUUUCGAUACGGGCGUGACCGAGCGACUAAUCUUCUCUCCGAGCUCU